CAGAAGCGGUUGAGCAUGUGGUUUAAUUAGAUGCAACGCUAAGAACCUUACCUGUCCUUGACAUACUAGAAACUUUCCAGAGAUUGAUUGUUGCCUUCGGUUAUCUUGAUACAGUUGCUGCAUGGCUGUCGUGUGCUCGUGUCGUGAUAUGUUGUGUUAAUGCCCUCAUGGAGCUCAACCUUUUUGCUUAGUGGCCAGCAUUUCUGAUGGGAACUUUAAG
rnacentral:rRNA from 1 species